CUUUAUUAUUAUUAUUAUUAUACAAAUAGCAGUACCAUUUCCAAGGACACAUUGCAUACAUGUGGAAUUUUACAUUUCUAGUUACAGAAAAACAAAAACAAACCAAACACAAAAACCCAUUAGUAUGAUUUCCCGCUCAGGUAACACUGCAGUUCUUACAGCAUUACUUUCUUCAAGGAGACCAUACGCUAUAGGGCCAGUGGCCUUUCUUUGGCAAUGGCACUGCCAUUUGCAAGCUCAGGAAAAAGGCAGCAUAACACAGAGGGCCUUGAAAAGAAAGCAACUGUUUUUGCUGGGUGUGUGUAUGUGUCUGUGUGUUUUCUCUGUUAUGGUUUGUUGUGCAACAGCAGUAAUCUCUAUUGCUUUGUAGCAUAUUCACAAUAAAUGGCUUUUUAGAUUGAUUACAUGCCUCAACUUUGCUUUGGCUAUUAAUCAAUCUCAGCAGCUGUUUAUUGCUUUGUAUGUUACAAAGCAAUAAAGAUUAUCCCUUAAAGAGCUGUUAAUGCCACAUGGAAAAGUUUGAAAACCAUUAUUUUUAGAAAUAGUACUGCUGAUAUAUAAUUUUCUGGCUUUUCUUUCUUCCUUCCGUGUUAUUUUAAGAAAGCUCAUUGCUUGUGAAACACACAGCCAUGUGUCUAACCAUCUUUGUUGCUUUAUUUGGAUUCUUUUAUAUUGCUUGCCUGUCCUUCCUAAAUUGCUGAACAUAGUGCUCCAUUGCUGACAAUGGUUUGUGUAAUGGUCCAGAUUUGCUCUGAGUCAGCAGUGGAUUCUACAUACAGAGGUGGCAUCCUCAGGACAUCCUAGCAUCCCACUCUUCCUCAAUGAUAGUUUUAGCACUUGUCUGCACUAGGAAAAUGAACUAGGGGGAAGUCAGGCAAAAUGGAGACUUCUCAGGUGGACGCUUUUUCACCAUGAUUAGUAAAGUAAGGGAAAAGGUAUUAUUUGUUACUUUAGAACAAGGACAACUGUCUGGAGAGUGGCAUAUAUGGAAAUAACUCCACCUGUAGAAUUACACUGGCAUAAAUAAAUAAUUUUUGCAGCACAUGCAGUUUAAAUACUCAGAGAUAUUCAAGUUAUAUUUGUGCGACCAUGCAACUGUCUUAGAUGCACCCUCUUCAUACAUGUGCCAAGCCUACUUGCUUUUGCAAACCUGCUGGCAUGCUCAGUACCACCUCUAAGGAAAGCUUGGGCUGCACUGUACCUUUGCAGCUUUUCAUCACUUCUUGUAUUCUACAACCUGGCUUUGAACACACAAAGGAAGGAUCAGGUGAAGUAAUUAUUUUGCCAUCUUCCUUGUCCAUCUUUGCAUUUGCCCAGCAAACUAUAGUCUGGCCCAUCAUUCCUCACCUACUGCACACGAAAACUGCCUGGGAGAUUCAUUGUUAAUGUUAGACCACAAGCUCAGGUUCUGCAAACAUUUUUAUGGUUCUGUCAGUGCAGUUUUCAGUCAUGAUGUAAUCAAAACCAUUGCUGGUGGUGAGAAGCUGGGUCACAUUUAGUCAUUUACUGUUUUCUGAUGCAAGUAUCAACAAAGCCCCAGUGUGCAUACAAAGUUUUGUAAUAAUAGUUACAAAAGAAUUGACUAUUAUCUGCCCUUUCCUAUCACUUACUCUAAGACCACUAAUAAGCCACUUAUUGAUGCUGAGCUUGGUUCCAAUUAUAUGAAUGACGAAUACGUUUAAAUACUCAUUUAAAUGAGAUUGCAACAUGAUCAUCAAUGAUACAAAUAUAUAUUUAGAAAAUGCCUAGAAAUAAGUAGAAAGGAUUUCUCAUAUGCAAAAUACAGAAGAGGUAAAAACAAUACUUACAAAAAGAUGAAAGAAAUUUGGCAACAGAAAGCUUAUUUGAUAAAUAAAAUGGAAACAGUUUAGAGGAGGAAAUAAGUAUGAAAGAGUGGAUGGAAUCCCUCCCCUUGUAAUUUUAACUGACAUCUAUCCUAGGGAUUUUUCAAAUAAUCAGAAUGUUUUUGGAGGAUACACACAUUUUGUUAGCAGGGGCAUGCGGCCCAUUCAUCUUGUGAGUCUUUAAUUUUGUCAAAGUAGUUACAGAAUUAGAUCCUGAGGCAAAGACUCAACUAAGAAGGGCUGUUUUUAAUAGCUAUAUCAAGUGGAAUGGAUAAAUAAAGUAGGUAACAUGCCAUGAUGUGGUGAAACACGUGCAUUUAGAGAACUUACUGUAGGCAGAGGUCAUAUAGUAGAAUGUUACUUAUCUUUGAGGCAUCAUCUGUCAUCAUCUCUUUGUUUGAGAAGAUACAAAAUACAGGCAGUGCAAAAAAAAAAAAAAAAAUUGCUCUUAAAUGAUGCAAACAUUCCUGUUCAGCAAGGUUGAAUAUAAUCAGAAAAACCAGCAUUGCCAAAUGCUGUGAAACAUUAAUAGCCAGUGUUUCAUAAACAGAGCUCCAUUCUAGACUUAGUCUUUAAAUGUAGCUGAAAAAUCUCACUAAGUACGAUGGAAGUAGAGUAGGUGCAAGUUGCUAAAAGCAACACAGCAACAUGAUCUGAUUUACUUCAAUUUUAACAACAUAAAUACUUUAAAAGUCCCUUAUUUUGAAAGCUAAGGUUAUGCUUCUUAUGGUAAGCACUGGCCACGGAUAAUGAGCUUUCAUUCACAGCUGCAAAGUAGCCUGGUAGGAGGGACGUUCCUAGCAAUCUGAUGAGACUGUUGACAAAGAUCAGCACAGAUAUAUUUUCUUUUGCUGUACCCAAGGUGCUUAUAAGUUUCUGUUUUGUUACUGCAAAAAUCAAGCAGCCCCCUGGCAUCAGACCGAAGCUUGUUUGCUCUAUACCACUGGUUUAAAAGUGAUCGAGUCCUUCACGCAUUAAAAGGAUUUGGCACAGAUUCAAGCAAUGAAAACUUGUCCAAGAUGUUUAAUCUCUCCAGGUACAAGAGGUCAGUCAGUAACAAGAGUCUCAUUAAGUGUACUCCAGAGUCAUAGUAGAAAAAUGACCUUUCCAGUUUGGCAGAUGUUUAAAUGUAAUAGACAGACAGGAAAUAAGAUAAUCAUACCCUCAAGAGUCUUGCAACUGCUGACACUUUCAUUCCGAAGCUGGAGUAAUUUUGAAAGGUAGGCAUAUUUGGCAAGAUAGACUUCGAGAAGCAGAUGAAACUAAAGAUACAAGAAACAGCAUUGCUGGGUGGGAGUGGUUUUAAGAAAUCCUUUAUUUCUUCUAGCUGCCUUCUUUUUCACAUCACUUUUCAGCUAUUGACUUACUACUCUUGGAGCGGGCCCAGAGGAGGGCCACUAAGAUGAUCAGAGGGCUGGAGCACCUCUCCUAUGAGGAAAUUUUUUCCACACAAAGAGCGGUGACACACUGGAACAGGUUGCCCAAGGAGGUUGUGGAUGCCCCAUUCCUGGAGACAUUCAAGGCCAGGCUGGAUGUGGCUCUGGGCAGCCUGGUCUGGUGGUUGGCGACCCUGCACAUAGCAGGGGGUUGAAACUGGAUGAUCUUUGUGGUCCUUUUCAACCCAGGCCAUUCUGUGAUGAUACUCCUGAAGCCAGCAUAAAGAAAAAAACAAAGAGUUUUAUUCAGUAAGCUCCCAAAUACUUCCUAAAAGCCUCCUGUUGUGAUACAAGCAGAACAACAGAAUAUUAAUGAAUGUGGGAGCAAGUAAGGAUCUCUUUUUGUACAGCUACAACUCUACUACUACAAAGAUGUGACAGAAGAUCAGUUACUGCCAAGCUAAAACCAGCCUGGUGUGUUUUAUACUAUUGUGUGGUACCGACCAAUAAUCCUCC
ensembl:lncRNA